AUCACGAGUGCACUAUUAUUAACAACAUAGCUUAAGUAAAAAAAUUAUUGAAUACUAGCUACCUAUGCUAUAUUUCUUUCUAUAUUAGUCAUUUCGUAAUCUAUUAAUUUUUUAUUUUAAGAUGUCAAAACGAUCAAUAGAAGAUUUCUUUUUACCGAAUAAAAAAACCAAAAACUAUAGAAUCUACAGACGUAAAUCAAGCCGUUACAUCGGCUAGUUCAUCAAUAAAAGGUAAAGAAAAACGAUUCUAUAAUACUAAAUGGGAAAUAGAUUAUCCUUGGCUUUAUUUUCAUAAACAACGUAACGGUGCUUUUUGUAUGUUAUGUGAAAAAUAUGUAUCAGGCGGAAUUUGUGUUAAUACACCAUUCAUAAACUAUAAAAAAGCACUAGGAAAAGAUGGUAAAUUAAAUAAACACACAUAUUCUGUAUCACAUAUCCGUAGUGCAGAAUUAGAAAAACUUGCUUUGGUAGCUUUAAAAAACCCUGUUUAUAAUCAAAUUGUAAGUCAAAGUUUUGAAGAAUGUAAAAUUAAUAGAACAAAUUUAUCACAUCUUUUUCGAUCUGUUUAUUUUUUGGUGAAAGAAGAGAUAACUCAUACAACUAAAUAUGAGCCGUUAAUUAA